AUUGAACGCUGGCGGCAGGCUUAACACAUGCAAGUCGAGCGGAGAUGAGGUGCUUGCACCUUAUCUUAGCGGCGGACGGGUGAGUAAUGCUUAGGAAUCUGCCAUUUAGUGGGGGACAACAUUCCGAAAGGAAUGCUAAUACCGCAUACGUCCUACGGGAGAAAGCAGGGGAUCUUCGGACCUUGCGCUAAAUGAUGAGCCUACGUCGGAUUAGCUAGUUGGUGGGGUAAAGGCCUACCAAGGCGACGAUCUGUAGCGGGUCUGAGAGGAUGAUCCGCCACACCGGGACUGAGACACGGCGCAGACUCCUACGGGAGGCAGCAGUGGGGAAUAUUGGACAAUGGGCGGAAGCCUGAUCCAGCCAUGCCGCGUGUGUGAAGAAGGCCUUUUGGUUGUAAAGCACUUUAAGCGAGGAGGAGGCUACUAGUACUAAUACUACUGGAUAGUGGACGUUACUCGCAGAAUAAGCACCGGCUAACUCUGUGCCAGCAGCCGCAGUAAUAC
rnacentral:rRNA from 1 species